CCUACGGGAGGCAGCAGUAGGGAAUAUUGGGCAAUGGGCGAAAGCCUGACCCAGCGACGCCGCGUGAGGGAUGAAGGUCUUCGGAUUGUAAACCUCUUUCAGUAGGGAAGAAGCGAAAGUGACGGUACCUAAAGAAGAAGCACCGGCUAACUAUGUGCCAGCAGCCGCGGUAAUACAUAGGGUGCAAGCGUUGUCCGGAAUUAUUGGGCGUAAAGAGCUCGUAGGUCGUUUGUCGCGUCGAUUGUGAAAAUCUGAGGCUCAACCUCAGACCUGCAGUCGAUACGGGCAAACUAGAGUGUGGUAGGGGAGACUGGAAUUCCUGGUGUAGCGGUGGAAUGCGCAGAUAUCAGGAGGAACACCAAUGGCGAAGGCAGGUCUCUGGGCCAUAACUGACACUGAGGAGCGAAAGUGCGGGGAGCGAACAGGAUUAGAUACCCUGGUAGUCCGCACCGUAAACGGUGGGCACUAGUUGUGGGAACCUUCCACGGUUUCCGCGACGCAGCAAACGCAUUAAGUGCCCCGCCUGGGGAGUACGAUCGCAAGAUUAAAACUCAAAGGAAUUGACGG
rnacentral:rRNA from 2 species